rnacentral:lncRNA from 1 species
AACUUCCCUUGCAACCCCCUAUAAAAAGAGCCUCGGACUCUGGGCUAGUCGCCUCUCUAAGAUACUUUGCUUUGGGAGUGCCGUCUGGCCAGACUAAGAUCUGUUUUACUUUCCAACUUGCCCGGGUGUUCUUCGCUGCAGUCAGCUCCUCGGAGCGUUUGAGAGACCCCUGUGGCUGCUGUGUGGGUAUGGAGUGGAGGUGUCAAGACUGGAGGCUUGCAUAGAUUGCUACAGUGAUCCCAGCUGUGGAACACCGUGGAGUGAGGAAGAGGACAGAGGGAGAGAACUUUUGUGACAUGGAAGGGGACAGGCUGGACCCUGCCUUUUAGAUGGACAUGCAUGCACAAGUGAGGCCAUGUCUCUGAAGCUCCCUAAGAAACCAAAGGAAAAGUAUCUGUUGGACUGGAUGCAGAGAGGUCAGGAAGCCUCUUGUCCUGGGAGGUGGCUCUGGCACAGCAGAACACUUCCAGGAUGUUGCUCCUAUGAGAUGCACUUUAGACCUUGCUGGUGACAGCAACAUUUUGCUGACUCAGAGCAGCUGGAGAUAUGAAUUUCUAUCCUGUGUCUAGUCCAGGGGAAUGACUGACAAAGCUUCUGGCAAAGCCAGAUCCCAGGGCAGCCCUGGCUGAGCUGUCUUGUCUGGAUCACUGGUGCUCAAGAAACCAAAACAAAACACAAAACAUAGCUGAAUAGAAGAAUUAGCCCAAUGCAUACUUAAUCCGACUCUAUCCUGACUUCUGUGCAUUGUGACUUUGUCCAACACUUCAUUCAAGAUUUAUAUCCCUUAAUAUCAAGAAAUCAACCAACAACAAAUGCUAGCAGGAAUGUAGGGAAAAAGAAACCCUUCUCCACUGUUGAUGGGAGUGCAAACUGGUGUAACCACUGUGGAAAUCAGUAUGGAGAAUCCUCAAAAAACCAGGAUUAGAGGUCCCAGUUGACCCAGUUAUUCUUCUGGGUAUCUUCCCCAAAGAAUUAAAAGCAUCAUACCACAGCAAUAUAUGCUUACUCAUGUUUAUAGGCAACACUGUUUGUAAUAGCUAAAUCUUGGAAACAACCCAAAUGCCCAUCAACUGAUGAAUGGAUAAAGAAGAUGUGUUUUUUCUAUACAAUGGAGUAAUAUUCAGCCAUAAAGAAGGAUAAAUGCAAGACAUUAAUAGCUAAAUGGAUGCACCUUAAAGCUAGACUUUAAAGUGAAAUAAUGGAACAUGCAUAUGUAAAUAUUGCAUUGUCUCUCUGGUGUAAGAAACUGAAAAUGUAAAUAGGGACUAAAAUGUAUAAUGGACAAUGUGAAAUAAGAAAACAGUUAUUCAAUAGGAAGGGGGAACUAAAGGUGAGGAGGGGAAGGAAGGAAGGAUAAAAAUGAGAAAAGAAGGAAAAAUGGAAAUAAGGCUUUUGUAAAUAAGGAAGGGGAAGAGGGGUUGAAGGGAGGGAAAGGGAAUGGGAAGAAAAGGAGUCAAGAUACAUCAUGUAAAGAUACGAAUUUCCUAUGAUGAAUGUGAUCAUUAUGUAAAUCUAAAUUGUACCAAUAAAAUUAAAAAUGACCAAAAGAAAAGAUUUAUAGCCCUGUGAAGAGUCUACUUGGCAUUCUUUCCCCAGGUCUGGGUCAACAACAAUCCUACUGUUACUGAGUUUUGUGGUGCUAAGGACUCCUUUUAGAGAUUCUUUCUAGAUUAUUUUUGUUCUGAACAAAGAAUUGGACAAAACAAGUGCAAAUUAAAGACAGGAAAAGAAAUAUGUUCUGAAGAAUGAAUAUAGGCCAAUUAAAAGUAGGAAAAGAAGUAUGCUCUACAAAGUGCAAGUGAGCCACUGUGAAAGAGAGAGCACAAUAGCUUUGAGCUCAAUAGCUACAAUCUUUAUCUCACACUCCUCAGGCUGAUGUCAUAUCUAGAUCAUCAUAUCAAAAAGCUGCUUGAGUUCUCAUGAGAAGAACUGAAGAUAGCACUUUCUGAUUGGUUCCAGGUGCAGGGCUUGAGUGCAUGUUUCCUGGAUCUUUGUGAUUGACAGGUCACACUCACUUGCCCAGCUGGCUGUCCACACCCUAAUCUCCUGCCUCACUGUAAAGCACUGGUGGUAAACCUAUAGCAUUCAUGCUGCAGGCUGUUUGUAUCGUUGAAAGCUCUAAAAGGUUCACCAUCAUUGUUGUAGAGGGAGUGGAUGUGAAUUCUGGCUGUAGGACAUAGUCUAUAUUUUUUCCACUCUUGCCCCCUGCAUUUCUGGGAAUGUCUUAACUAAGAGGAAAGGAAAAUCGUAGUUACCUGGUUAGAUUGGUGCUUUAUGGUAAGAUGUCUUGUCUUGGAGCAUAGAAUAUAUUUUUGCAGCAUUACCUAAGACCAAUGUGAGGAAUUCCUGAUCAGUUAAGAGUUGCUCACUGUGAUGUGCAUAGCAAGGAUGGGAAGGCAGGGGAACAGUGAAAAUAAGACAGCCAUGUCCUGAUCUCCACCUUUUCUAAGAAAGCAGUCCUAUCUGACCAAGACUGAAAGCAAAUCUCAAUAAGGUGUUUUUGUUUGUUUGUUUUUUUGGUACAGGGAGUGGAACUCAGGACCUUGUGCUUGCCAGGCAGGUGCGGUGCCACAGAGCUAAAUCCCUGGCCCUCAACAAGGUGUUUUUAAAGCCUUAGUCACUGCUAAACAUUUUCUUUCAUGGACAUUGCAUUAGUCCAUUUCUAUAGCUAUAACAAAAAUACCAGAGACUGGGUACUUUAUAAAGAAAAGAGGAUUAUAUAGCUCAUGAUUUUGGAGGCUGAAAGUCCCAAGAUCAGGCUGCCAUGUCCGUCUAGCCCCUAGUAAAGGCCCUUUCUCCUACAUCACAAUGUGGCAGAGAAGCAAAAAGGGAAAUUGCCACCUCUGGAGGAGGUCAACUGCAUGGGGUGGUUUCAACUUAUAAAAACCCAUACUCAAGAGAACUAACUAGGUCCUUUGAGAACUACAUUAAUCCCUUCUGAACACAGCACCUCCAGUAAUCUAAUUCCUUUCUACUAGGCCCCACAUCUUAGGUUCUACCACCUCUCAACAUUACCACAUAGAGAACCAAGUUUCCAGCACAUGAAGCCCAGGAAACACACUUGAACCAUAUCCAAACCACAACAGCCAUGUUAUCCAUGAUCUUGUGUGAUCUUGAUCCCAGCCCUUGAAACUCUCCAUCCUCUGAAAUUACCUGAACUUAUCUGAACUUAGUGAUUAUGCCACUUAUCUGUCAUGUGACAUAUUGCCUUGAGGUUGUUAUUUUAUAAGUAAUAGAAAUAACUCAUGUUUAGAGAGAACUUGCUAUGUACUAGGCCCUUUACAAAUAUUUAAUUUUGACAACAAAGCUCAGAGGCAAGAAUUGUUAUUGUCUCUAUUUUAUAGAUGAAUAAACCAGCACUUUAAGAGAUAGUAUGUAGCUUGUCCAGUUAUGCAGCUAGAAGCAAGCAGUGGAGCUGGACCUUGGGCCCUUAUCACUCAUGAGCUAGCAACCUUGGCUUUCUCAUCUCUAGGAACUACAAUGUAAGCUCUUGGAGAGCCAAUGUUAUGAUUCAGUUUUUUGCUAUGUUCAACACACAGCCACUGAUUGAUUGCCUGCUUGAUUCUCAAGAUUAUUUUAAACAAAACAGAAUAUGUUUCUUUUAAGGAGCCCAAAUCCCUUAGAAGAUCAUUUCCAACUUGAUUCUAAAGAAUCUCUGAGCAAUAGCAAUCUAUUACUUCCCAAUCUUGUGGUCAUCUCCCCUCUCCCAGCCCCCACACUGACCUUUUCUUCACACACACACACACACACACACACACACACACACACACACACACAGAGUACUAAGAUAAAGGCAAGAGUAAGAGAGACAGGGGCUCAAAUCUAAUUAAGACAAGACUUUGAAGUGAUUAAAUCAAAGUUUCACAAGAAUGCCAAAUUCAAUUUUAGUUGGGGGUGGGGGGAGACUGAACCCUUGAAGCCCUGCCUAUUUUGGUUAUGGGUCAUAGUUUAAAUAUUCUUUGCACUUUUCUCCAAAGACUGCAAUUAAAUUAGAAUGUGGUUUACAGAACAUGUUAUUUAUUAUGUACUUGUGUCUCCUGAUUAUGCUUGUCUGCCUGCAGCUUUUUUGAGCCACCAGGGAAGGUGUGCUUUAUAUAGCAAGAGAGGGUAUGUGUGAAAUGUUCUUUGAAUAAUGACUGCAAGGUGCUCAGAGAAGCCUUGACUUUAUUUAGACAUUUAAUUUCUUCACAGUUUCCUCUCUGAGAGGACUCUUGGCUUCAUUUCCAGACAGCAUGCAUGUGGUAAGAAAAAGGGCAGAAUGUGGGGAUCUGGAGGAGGGAGGGAGGAUUGGUUGUAGGUUCAGGGAAUAAUAGAUUUUUAUUAUGAGGAAGAUUGCAUCAUUCAUACUUGAAAUUCCCAUGUGGUACAGUUUGAUUAAAUGUUUAUAUAGUCCAGGUUAUCCUCUGCUACCCAGAUAGUUAAUGCUCCCAGGCAUUGUACUUCUCAAAGAAGAGUAAAAAUUAUCCAAGCCAUUUGAUCAAAGAUAAAAGUUCAGAGAUUGCACUGAUGGCAUUCUUGCAUGGAGAAUUAAUACCCUAAAAUAUUUGCUAAGAUAUUAUCCUCAAUUUGUAAAACAAUACACUAAGCACCGCCUGUGGAGAGAGAUACCUACAAAAAAUGUAUGCACUUAAAAAUAUGUAUCUACAUAAAACUGAAUUAUAGCUGAGAGAAUAAAUCUCCCCCACAAUGAACACCUGGGACUGAAUCACAGAUUGUAUAAUCUGUGAUUUAUCUGGUCCCAAAUACACAGAAACAAGCAAUAAUCUUGAGUCGGAGCCUUUACUACAUCCCUCCCAUUCUGAGAUGGGGAUUUCAGAUGCCUUCAUCAUUUGAAAAUCACAAAAUAGACAGCUGGUGAGUCUACCAUGCUGACAAUACUACAGCUAUUCCCAGAGAGUGUGCUCUCUGUUUUAAACUCAACUCAGUAAAUAUUUGAGAGCAUUUUUUAUAUUCUAGUUGCAAUCAAGGGCAAUCAAUGGCAAUCAAGGAUUCAAAGAUGAGCAGGACUCAACUGCCCCAGCUUGAGGCCCUUAGAAGUAGCUCACUUGCUGUAAGAGCUCCAGAGAGAAUGUAAUCUCUGAUGAGGGUGUAGAGGACUCUUCGUAGAAAAUGGUCUUCCCAGUGAACAUGCAGGACAGUGUGGGCUCUUCCUGUGUCCUGUGGAAAACUCAGGGUGUGAAGGCAGUCUCUGGCUUGGAUUUUAGUGGGGUAGUAGCCUUGCCCCUUGUUUCUAGCCAGCACUCACUUCCAAGUAGAUGGCAGAAGGCAGGGUCUUCUUUCCCACAAUGGAGGAUGCUUGGGGCCCCAGUCAUAAGUAGGGGCAAGAGUAGAAACCCAACAUUCAGGAUGAUAGCUUGGGAGCAACCAGUGUCCAGCUCUGUCCAGCUUCUAAGCUGCCUCAGCCCAGUUUCCUCUGAAGUCAGAACAAAGAGGAGGGAUGCAAGGGACAGUGGUUCUGUUGGUUCCAGGGUAUCAUCUUCACCCCAGGAAGCUGGUGCUGGCUUCUCUAGGAGGUGCAUUUGCACGUUGAUAGGCUCUCUGGUGCCCCUAUUCCCCACCCCAAGGUCCUCAACACUGCAGCAUUUCCUGAUGGGCUGAUGUCUGCUUCUUCCAUUCCUUGUGCUUCAGGUCAAAUCCUGUGCAUCCCAGUGGCAGAUGCUUGAGAUACCUCCUUUCCAGAUGAACCUGGUCCCUUCUGAAAGCAUCUACUGAGUACAUUGGACACAUAUGACACCCUGACAAACCAAAAGACAGAAGAGUCAUUGGGCCGAUACUGGCUGAGUGUCCUGAUUCUGCUGGGAGACUCGAAGCAGGCAGUGCUCAGUCUUCUUUUGCAAGGGACCCAACUUUCAGAAUCAUGACAUGUCCAGUAACCUCCAACACAGCAGCAAGGACAAACCAGACUCCCUCCAGCUAUCAAGGGCAUCUUGGGAUACUGUUCCUUAGCUUGUAGUCAGAGUAUGGGGAUAGGAAAGGAACUUUCUUUGGGGUGUCCACUCCCAGACUCUCUCCCAAGAAAAAAGGUAUUCCAAAACAUCUCAUGAAGCACCUGAAGGACUGCACGAGUACUGAGUUAGGUGACUAAAAAUCUCAGGGAUGUAGAGGCCCCUAAAAACUGGGAUUCCCUUCUGAGAUGUUAGGUUGACUUUGUUCCUGAAUUGUAACAAGAUGAUUUUUACCUUCACAAGAAAUUGCCUUUGUUUUAUUGUUUGGUGGCUGUUCCACAACUCUCAGAUCUGUGUUUCCACAGCUUCCCUUGAUCCAAAAACAGGACACGCCAAGGAGAUGAAAAGCUUGGCUGAGCUGAGUUCUAAGGGAAGUCCUGGUCAUUACAGAGAAAAUGUUCCUCCAGAAAGACACUGAGUUCCUCAUAAUGUGAGAACCUUCUUUGAUGUGUUUUUUUUAUUGGGUAUAAUGUUAAGGCAUUGGAGCCAGGAAUACCUGGGUUUCCACUGUGGGAUUCCAUACCCAGGCAGCCCAGCAGAAGCCCAUAGACAUCUACCUCAGGGCGGAGGCUGGGAUCCCCUGAGGAAGGACUUCCUAAUUAUUAGUCACCUUGCAAUACGGGGUAGAGGGCUUCCCAUCACUAAAAAUGUUCCAGCAGAGACUGCACAACCACAAAGGACUCCACAGUAUUAGAAUCUGUAACCUCUAAGACCUAUUUCUUUGCAGCCCUAUUAAAUUGAAAACUUCUGAAAGUGGUGGUUUUUAUAUCCUUCUCCCCUAGAACCAUGUGGGAGGAAGGAAGGAAGGAAUAUAUGUUCCCCACAGCCAAGAGGCAUCAGACCCCUGAUGAUUUGGAAGCUCUGAUUACUAUCUAGCCCUGGAUUACCUAGCCUUAACAUCAUCAUUUUUCUACCAUUUUAUUCCUUCCUUGCAAGACCAGCUGAGUUUUGACCCUUUAUCUCAGCAAGUUAGCAGGAACUGAAGAUGUCAGUGUUGUACCUGUUCAGGGAACCAGAGUUAGAAUCCAUGCAACUCUACAUCUACCCCCAUCUCCUACUGAGACAGAUUCAUGUCUGUGUCCGAACACCAGAGCCAUGGGGAGGAGGUGCUCACCCAGGUGGGAUUUGAAGGUGUCCAGGACUUUCUUUCCAUAUAGACACCACCAUGGUUAUCAUUCAAAUCUUGCUUUAUCUCAAGGGCUUGCUUUUGGAAGGGGGACUAAGGACCAGUCUUCAUCUCCCAAGCAAUGUGAUUCUGUGGCAUUGGAAUUGCUUUUAAAAAAAUUAAAAACUAAAAGAAUGCAAAAAAUAUAUUUGAAACUUUCUCCCUUGGAAUAAGGUGAUUUCCUUACAAAUGUAACUCCCUUGGGAGUUGAUUCCUUAACUCUAUAGCACCCUCUGAAUUUUUAAGCAAGCCUAAUCUAUUAAAUUAACUAAAACAGAUACAGAAAGAAGGGAUGCAUAACUCAUCCACAAGUGUGCUGGUUUUCCGUAUGAUGGGUGAUAGGUUGGAGGGAGGGGAAUGUUUAGAUCCAGAGUCCAAAGAAAUCCCUGGGCUGCAGGUCACCGUAAGAAUCAGUCACUCUUGCAUGAUCAACCUGUGUUUCUUGGAGACCUUGGGAUGGGUGGAAAUCUAUCUCCUCUUUCAACGCAGCACCUCUGCUCUGUUCUGCUUUGUAGACUGGGCUGGCUCCUAAGAUUCUCUCUGGAGGGCUCUUAGCUGAGGACAGCAGGACGUUGCUGAUGCUGUCUAUGUGUCCUAUAUUGCUGAUGAGGGGUCUAGGGCUCAAGACAGGAGAGGAGUUCACAGUCAUGGGAUUGUUUGCACAGGAAUGGACCAGGGCUCAUUGCCCUUGUGCAGCCAGGCUUGGUGGAUAUUGAGGUAGCUACUGCUCUAGUGCUACAAGAGGAGAAUGAGAUGAAGAGCACUUUCUGAGAAAGGCCAUGGGGUCUCAAGUUUAAAAGGACAAGACAGAGGAGGGGAGAAGGCAGUUGGAAGUUCCAGGUGCUAAGUGUUUUCAGUCAAGGGAUCUUUGAGUUUGUCAAGAGAGGAAGAGUAUAAGCUUGACAAUUCUGCACACUGUUCAGAGACUGCUUACACCCUGACUUCUCUAGGAUAGGUGUGCUAACCAUGGAACCUGCAGUCUGUCUAUGGUAGACUUCAGAGAGCCCUCAAACUUCCUGAACUUGUAUCAAAACAUGAUGUACCUGGGCAUUGCUCUGCAUCCAGAGUCUAAGAAGAGGGGGAUUUUAUAGUCAUUACAUUUUCAAAGGGGUUAAGGGACACUGUAAAUCAUUGCCUCUUGGAAACUUUGUGCCCAGAUUGCCUGGCUCUUUCUUCAAAUAACUUCUUUGGCUUGCCCCAUACUUCCUCCAGGGUAGGAAUAAAAGCUGCACUUAAGUCUCCAAAUUUGGAAUUGCUAUUUUGCUGCUAGAUUGCUCAUUUGUGUGUGUGGGAGGACUCAGGGAGGGAGGAGGGAGGAAUGAGAAAGACUGCAUUCCAUAAAUGUGUUAUGUGUGUGUGUGUGUGUGUGUGUGAGUGUGUGUGUGUGUGUGUGUGUGUGUACGUGUGGUGUGGUGACAGUCAGACCAGGAGGUGCUGCGUUUUCUUCCCUCUUCCUUUUUUCCGUUUGGAUGAGAAGCACCUCUGCUUUGAAGGCCUGCCUUUGCCAUUGCUUCAAAAGCUUUUCUUGUUGCUUUCUGAUCCUCAUGGCCUUCCAGGGCUUGGCUUUGGUCCUGUGUGAGCCAGCAACUUGAGCCAAUGGCAGCAGCAGAAACCAAGAUAGCUCUGAAAAAAUAUUUGCUUAAUUAGCAAAAAUGAUCUGUGAUCAGAAUCCAUGUUUAACUGCCUGGCCUGGUGCCAAGCCUGAUGAAUUUUCCUUCAAAACUGAUUUUGAUUUUGAACUGAGAAGAUCCAACCUGCAUACUGGGGAAGGCAAAUGCCCAGGUCUGCUUAGACUAGGGGUUUUUUCCUGUCAAACAUACAUUGGGGAAAUCAGAGUGGGGGUGGGGGAGCUGGUCUGUGUCAGCCAGCAAGCAGUGGCAAGGGGACCUGGCUGUCACUGUGGCUAGUUCUUUAGUGAGGGUGAAGGCAUGGUGCUUGCUCUGUGGUGUGUAGGUGAGCUUCGAAGGAAGGUGGUCUCAGAGAACUGGUUUGUGGGGAGCUGAGCCCCAUAAAUGACAGGGCUGAAUAAUUUAUGGCUCUGAAUAUGUUACAGGAGAGGUGCCUUGGAGAGUAGCCUUGGGGUCAUGGAGAGAGAGUCUGCUGGUACAGGGGCGACAGCGAUAUGGAGCAAGGAAGUGACUGGUCUUAUGGAACCACCUCAAUUUGCCUUUAAGUCAAAGUGGCCUGUGGAAAUCCCAAGGAUGAGUCAAGAAUCUGCUGAGGAGGUGACAAGCCCAGACAAACCUAAAGUUUUUUUCGGCCCCCGAAGUUAGGGUCACUCAGGUUACUCUCUGACCCUUCAGACUUGUCUAGUACCUCUAGAAUUCUUUUUAGGACUCUCGAGCUGUCCUUAGGUUAAUUCAGGCCAUUUUGAAUUGUCACCUUGGAAGUAGAUUUGCCAGUUCCCAAGGGACUUCUCUUACAGAAAGACAGGUUUCUUCCAGGGGAAGCCAGGGGCUGUCCAGCUAUCUUUGGGGGUGUCCUGAGAGCCUUCUGAUUGCCCCUCCACAUCUGUCAACUACCCUAUUUUCCUAAUGAGACUGGCCUGCAUAGGCAGUGACCCUGAACUCCAGCUUCUGGUUGGCUUAGCCAAUGGGGAGCCCACGAAGCUCAAAAAGAAAGGCUGAGGUGCCAGCAUAUAUUUCACCCUGCACGCCUUCCCUCCUUGGCCUCCUUUCCAUUUCUUUUUCCCUCUUCCAGGUCUGUUGGCCACUCUCUCCCCUCACCUCUCCAGGUCUCUGCAUUUAGUACGAGCCAGGCUGCAGGACCCUGCUGGUUUCCCUGAACUCUCUUCCCCUUCAUAACUUGCCCUUUUGUUUUGCCUUCCUGGAAUUAUCCUGAUUAGAGUUGGUAUGGUCUCUUGCUAGGUUCCCGAUCCAAACAGGAAAUUGUCUUUUCUGGGCCUUUCUAGACUUUGUUAACCUCAUUUUCUGAGGAUAAAGCUCCCCAAAGGCAUAUAUUACAGAGCAAACAUAUGAUGGAAAAGUUUGUUUUUAAAACCUCCAAACAAAAAAUAAGUACUGGAGUGCAAAGGUGCCUAUAGUAUUAAGGCCCUUACUUGGCUGGUUGGUCAGGGCUCUGAGCUAUGCAGUAACUCGGCUAAAUGAUCUUGCAGCAAGGGCUGAUCUCAAGGGUGGGGUGGCUUCUACCAAUUCCACAGAGGUGUGGAUCAGAAUGGGAGUUCCCAUUUGUCUCCUAGGAUCCUUCAUUACCUACUGGCAGCUUAAUAGAAAUUCUGUCUCUAGCCCUCUUGGGGACCUGACUUUAUUAUAUUUAAAGCCUACUACUAUCCUAUGGAUACCUCCACUCUCUCCAGCUCUAACUAGUGGGGGCCAGGCUGACGAACUCUGCAGGUGAUCAGGAAAAGCUCUGGUGCAGACACAGGAUGAAGGAGACAGGGUAGGACAGUGUUCUUUCACCAUGAAAAUAAAUUGUGUGUUUGUGAGGAGUCUGUAGAAAGACUUAAAAUCAGAGAGGCAGAGGGCCAGAGUGGGUGUCCAGUGAACUACAAUUUCUGUGAGGAUCUCUAUAGUCAUUGUUUUGGACAGAGGUCUCAGUGGGCAGACAGAGGGCUGUUAGGGAGAAACUUAUCCUUACACAGUCUUAGGAAUGAGGGUUUGUGUGCUGAGAAGUUCAGGGAAGAGGGGUAAACCACAGGAACCAGCCAGUUCAGAGGCCUCAAAGGGGCUGCUUUUGUGAGUCACUAUGGAGAGAUCUUGUAGGUCCCUUGUAUAGAGAUACUUGCCCAUCCUGAGAUUAGAAACCCAGAUCCUGGGGUUUUGCUCUCUCUGUUCCUGUGAGCACCACCCAGCCACACUACUUCCCCUGGCACCUAUGGUCGAAUCCACUUUGCAGACUCUCCAACAUUUUUACAAGCAACUUCCUUGUUCCCCACUUCAGAUACCAAUAGCCAGCGCCACUUCUCCCAAGCUGGGUUCCUACACCACUUCCUCUAAGUUUCCAACUUUUGAUAAUCUUACCUUCUUCCUUUUGUUACCUUAGCCUUCGAGGUGAUGCUUUUUUUGUUUUAACCUUCUCAGUCACAAGUUAGCACUUUUUGACGGGGGGGGGGGGG